rnacentral:rRNA from 1 species
GAUGAACGCUGGCGGCGUGCCUAAUACAUGCAAGUCGAGCGAACAGACGAGGAGCUUGCUCCUCUGACGUUAGCGGCGGACGGGUGAGUAACACGUGGAUAACCUACCUAUAAGACUGGGAUAACUUCGGGAAACCGGAGCUAAUACCGGAUAAUAUAUUGAACCGCAUGGUUCAAUAGUGAAAGACGGUUUUGCUGUCACUUAUCGAUGGAUCCGCGCCGCAUUAGCUAGUUGGUAAGGUAACGGCUUACCAAGGCAACGAUGCGUAGCCGACCUGAGAGGGUGAGCGGCCACCCUGGAUCUGAGACACGGUCCAGAAUCCUAAGGGAGGCAGCAGUAGGGAAUCUGCCGCAAUGGGCGAAAGCCUGACGGAGCAACGCCGCGUGAGUGAUGAAGGUCUUCGGAUCGUAAAACUCUGUUAUUAGGGAAGAACAAAUGUGUAAGUAACUAUGCACGGCUUGACGGUACCUAAUCAGAAAGCCACGGAUAACUACGUG